CAGGAGAGGAGUGGAACACGCAGAGGGAGGGAGACCAAACCCCCUCUUUGCUGCAUUGAGAGCUUCUGAAUUUCAAGCAGAAAGUAGAAGAAGCCCCACACAGCAAUAUUCGUCUUUUCUUGGGCAGCGUGUGCAGAGCGUAGACAAUGAAAAUCUCCAUCCCCCUCCCCCAUGCUCUCUAGUCUACAAGAUUUUUGUUUCUUUCCUUCUCAACGAUGGAAGCUAUGUAAAAUCAAAUAUACAGAGAUGCACAUUCAUUUUUUAAAGCACAGACUAACAAACCAAACGAGCUGACCGCGGAUUAUCCAAACGCGCACCUGCUGGUGAUCCAUGUGUCCCUCUAAGAAUCCUCCUUAUUAUCUAGCUUCUCUGGAGCUAUGGAUUGUGGUCUGG
rnacentral:lncRNA from 1 species